CGUAAACACCAGAAAAUUUCGUAGUGCGCAUGCUUAUGUCAAGGGGUAUGACCAAACUUUUUCAAAGAAGUUCGGCGAAGACGUGAAAAGCUUAAAAAAAAUUCUUCGACAUACUGUACAACAAAAAACAAAAAUGGCUAAAUAUCUGGAAUCUACCGGAAACGGCAAUUGUUUAUAAAAUUCUGUCUCCAUAUUAAUUGUUGGAAAUGAGAGCCUUUGCUAUAUACUUCAAGCUGCUGUUCUGAUUGAGCUGCGUUUACAUUUAAACUUCUAUGCUUCACAAAAUGUUAACAAAAAGAUUAUGGAGAACUUUCCUUGUAAUGAAAGAGAACUUUUUGCGUCAAUAUUUCCUCAUAAUGUUGCUGAUGAAUUUACAGGAAAUAAAAACGUAGAUAGGAAGUCAUGUGUCAUCAAGGAAGCCAUUUAUAAUCCUAAAAAUACAAGAUUCUGAUCUUUAAUGAAUAUGCUUGCUCUUGCAACAGUUAUUGGGAAAAAUAUGAAAACCGGAUAUAUACCCUCAUGAUGUAGGUGACAUCCAUGGAAGUUUUAAUAAUGGGUUAAUUACCUCAAGAACAAGUACAGAAUAUACGAGCGAAUGUAUAACCAUUAUGGGUGAGGUGAGAAAAAUGUCAUUUGGCUUAUUUGAGCCAAAUCACUUUGCAUAUACCUCCAACCACCAUGAAAAAAUACAAAACGUUUAGAGUGCCAGUAACGACCAGUUUCCUGUGAGAGAUCUAUAUCAACGCUAUGACGAGUAAAGACAUAUUCAAGAAACUCGAUGACCCAGAGUCAAUUUAAUGGCUUGGUGUUGCUAAAUAUCCACAACGAGAUGAAAAUAAAUUUAGAUGACAUAAUCGAUAUGCUGGCAAAAAAAUAUCCAAAAAGACCUAAAA